GACGAACGCUGGCGGCGUGCUUAACACAUGCAAGUCGAACGGAAAGGCCCUGCUUGCAGGGUACUCGAGUGGCGAACGGGUGAGUAACACGUGGGUGAUCUGCCCUGCACUUCGGGAUAAGCCUGGGAAACUGGGUCUAAUACCGGAUAGGAGCCAUUUUUAGUGUGAUGGUUGGAAAGUUUUUUCGGUGUAGGAUGAGCUCGCGGCCUAUCAGCUUGUUGGUGGGGUAAUGGCCUACCAAGGCGGCGACGGGUAGCCGGCCUGAGAGGGUGGACGGCCACAUUGGGACUGAGAUACGGCCCAGACUCCUACGGGAGGCAGCAGUGGGGAAUAUUGCACAAUGGGCGCAAGCCUGAUGCAGCGACGCCGCGUGGGGGAUGACGGCCUUCGGGUUGUAAACUCCUUUCGCUAAGGACGAAGCUUUUUGUGACGGUACCUAGAGAAGAAGCACCGGCUAACUACGUG
rnacentral:rRNA from 1 species